rnacentral:rRNA from 2 species
UGGGGGAUAUUGCACAAUGGGCGAAAGCCUGAUGCAGCGACGCCGCGUGGGGGAUGAAGGCUUUCGGGUUGUAAACCUCUUUCGCUAUCGAACAAGGCCCGCUUAGGGUGGGUUGAGGGUAGGUGGAGAAGAAGCGCCGGCUAACUACGUGCCAGCAGCCGCGGUAAUACGUAGGGCGCGAGCGUUGUCCGGAAUUAAUGGGCGUAAAGGGCUUGUAGGCGGCUUGUUGCGCCUGCUGUGAAAACGCGGGGCUUAACUUCGCGCGUGCAGUGGGUACGGGCAGGCUUGAGUGUGGUAGGGGUGACUGGAAUUCCAGGUGUAGCGGUGGAAUGCGCAGAUAUCUGGAGGAACACCGAUGGCGAAGGCAGGUCACUGGGCCAUUACUGACGCUGAGGAGCGAAAGCAUGGGUAGCGAACAGG